rnacentral:rRNA from 1 species
CCUACGGGAGACAGCAGUGAGGAAUAUUGGUCAAUGGCCGAGAGGCUGAACCAGCCAAGUCGCGUGAGGGAAGACGGCCCUACGGGUUGUAAACCUCUUUUGCCGGGGAGCAAAACGCGUCACGUGUGACGCAUCGAGAGUACCCGGAGAAAAAGCAUCGGCUAACUCCGUGCCAGCAGCCGCGGCAAUACGGAGGAUGCGAGCGUUAUCCGGAUUUAUUGGGUUUAAAGGGUGCGCAGGCGGCGGGUGAAGUCAGCGGUAAAAUUGCGGGGCUCAACCCCGUAAUGCCGUUGAAACUGCAUAGUUAGUGUGGGCGAGAAGGAGGAGGAAGGCGUGGUGUAGCGGU